GCAUGAUCGUCAUAAGAAAUAUGGCACUAAAUGGAGACGAGGUGAACAACCUGUACGGCAAGAAUUCAGAUCUCAACUUUAUCUAUUUGUACGGGAUCGUCGAAGGCAACAUCGAUUCCUCCCAAUCGUUGCCAACUGCUGGUGUAAAUUCCAGCAAGUCGGAACCGCUGAUAUCUCGCUACUUCUUGCACUUCUUCAUCUUGUUUUGGGUUCUAAUCCUAUCAGUGAGUUUCAAAGUUGGAAGGUGCAUUCAUUCCAGGUGACUUAUUGUUGAAAAUUUGUAGUAGUAUUAGCGGUAGUUUAGAAACUUUCUAUGCUGCCAAAUACAACACGUUUGUUGCGGAUCUAUCUACA
rnacentral:misc_RNA from 1 species